rnacentral:rRNA from 1 species
ACCUGGGGGCUGCCAAUGAUACUGCCGAUCUUGAGUGUGGAAGAGGUAGAUGGAAUUCCUGGUGUAGCGGUGAAAUGCGUAGAUAUCAGGAAGAACACCGAUGGCGAAGGCAGUCUACUGGUCCAUUACUGACGCUCAUGCUCGAAAGCGUGGGGAUCAAACAGGAUUAGAUACCCUGGUAGUCCACGCCCUAAACGAUGGAUACUCGAUGUCGCGCCGCAAGGCCCGGUGUCUAAGCCAACGCAUUAAGUAUCCCACCUGGGAAGUACGAUCGCAAGGUUGAAACUCAAAGGAAUUGACGGGGGCCCGCACAAGCAGUGGAGCAUGUGGUUUAAUUCGAUGCAACGCGAAGAACCUUACCUGGGUUUGAAAGGCAAGUGACAACCGAUGAAAGUCGGUCUUGUAGCAAUACACACUUGUACAGGUGCUG